GACGAACGCUGGCGGCGUGCCUAAUACAUGCAAGUCGAGCGAAGUUUUUCUGGUGCUUGCACUAGAAAAACUUAGCGGCGCACGGGUGAGUAACACGUAAAGAACCUGCCUCAUAGACUGGGACAACUAUUGGAAACGAUAGCUAAUACCGGAUAACAGCAUUAACUGCAUGGUUGAUGUUUAAAAGUUGGUUUUGCUAACACUAUGAGAUGGCUUUGCGGUGCAUUAGCUAGUUGGUGGGGUAAAGGCCUACCAAGGCGACGAUGCAUAGCCGACCUGAGAGGGUGAUCGGCCACACUGGAACUGAGACACGGCCCAGACUCCUACGGGAGGCAGCAGUAGGGAAUCUUCCGCAAUGGGCGAAAGCCUGACGGAGCAACGCCGCGUGAGUGAAGAAGGAUUUCGGUUCGUAAAGCUCUGUUGUUAGGGAAGAAUGAUUGUGUAGUAACUAUACACAGUAGAGACGGUACCUAACCAGAAAGCCACGGCUAACUACGUG
rnacentral:rRNA from 1 species